rnacentral:rRNA from 1 species
UACGGAGGGUGCGACGUUGCUCGGAAUUACUGGGGCGGUAAAGUGUACGCAGGCUGUUCUGUAAGUCGGGUGUGAAAGCCCGGGGCUCAACCCCGGAAUUGCGCCCGAGACUGCAAGGGCUUGAAUGCGGGAGAGGGAAGCGGAAUUCCUGGUGUAGAGGUGAAAUUCGUAGAUAAUCAGGAGGAACACCGGUGCGAAGGCGGGUCUCUGGGCCGAUACUGACGCUGGAGGAAGCGAAAGCGUGGGGAGCGAACAGG